rnacentral:rRNA from 1 species
AUGAACGCUGGCGGCGUGCCUAACACAUGCAAGUCGAACGGAGUUUAGCGCUGAUGAAGCUUCGGCAGAUUCUUGUUAAACUUAGUGGCGGACGGGUGAGUAACGCGUGGGUAACCUGCCUCAUACAGGGGGAUAGCAGUUGGAAACGACUGAUAACACCGCAUAAGCGCACAGGAUCGCAUGAUCUNGUGUGAAAAUAUUUAUAGGUAUGAGAUGGACCCGCGUCUGAUUAGCUAGUUGGUGAGGUAACGGCCCACCAAGGCGACGAUCAGUAGCCGGCCUGAGAGGGCGGACGGCCACAUUGGGACUGAGACACGGCCCAAACUCCUACGGGAGGCAGCAGUGGGGGAUAUUGCACAAUGGGCGAAAGCCUGAUGCAGCGACGCCGCGUGAGUGAAGAAGUAUUUCGGUAUGUAAAGCUUUAUCAGCAGGGAAGAAAGGCCUC